UACGUAGGGGGCAAGCGUUGUCCGGAAUCAUUGGGCGUAAAGCGCGUGUAGGCGGCCUUGUAAGUCCGUUCUGAAAGCCCGGGGCUCAACCCCGGGAGGCGGAUGGAUACUGCAAGGCUCGAGUACGGAAGAGGCGAGUGGAAUUCCCGGUGUAGUGGUGAAAUGCGUAGAUAUCGGGAGGAACACCAGUGGCGAAGGCGACUAUCUGGGCUGCAACUGACGCUGAGGCGCGAAGGCUAGGGUAGCAAACAGG
rnacentral:rRNA from 1 species